UACGUAGGGUGCGAGCGUUGUCCGGAAUUACUGGGCGUAAAGAGCUCGUAGGUGGUUUGUCGCGUUGUCCGUGAAAACUCACAACUCAAUUGUGGGCGUGCGGGCGAUACGGGCAGACUGGAGUACUGCAGGGGAGACUGGAAUUCCUGGUGUAGCGGUGGAAUGCGCAGAUAUCAGGAGGAACACCGGUGGCGAAGGCGGGUUGCUGGGCUGACACUGACGCUGAUGCGCGAAAGCCAGGGGAGCGAACGGG
rnacentral:rRNA from 1 species